CUCUUGUGCUGGAUGAGGCGGGGUGCUGGGCCGCUGGGUAUCACCUGGCAUUGAAAGCAGGUGUUGCGUAUUACCUAACGAGAAAACGCAAGUAAAGUUUUUGGAGGUAUGAGUGUGUGUGUGUGUGUGUGUGUGUGUUUAUGUUUGGUACACUACAAGAAAUCUGUUCUGUUACUUUUUGUAGUUUAGUAAUUGAUUUCUAAUAUAAUACGUCAGUGAUACUCAAUUAAAAUCCACUGUCAAAACCAUUUUGGAACAAAUUUAAAAUUAAUCUUAAUAAACGUAGCAAUUAAUGAUCAUCAUGAAAUAAAGGCAAAGUGACACAGAUGAGCAACCAACACUUAGAGCUUGCCUUUGGAAUUCAGCAGGGCUUUAUUUUUCAUGAGUUCUCAGUCACAAAAAAGCAUUUUCCUUCAGAUCCAGUGUUGGUAAUGUGGAAACAACUCCUCUCCCGACACACACACGCACACACACACGCACACGCACUCACGCACACGCACACGCACACACGCACACGCUGGACCUUUCUGGAAUCAGUGUCCCCGCCCCGUGAUGUCUUCUUACUGGGAGAAGGAAACUGUUCAGAAGGUCACUGUUGCAUUUGUGCCCCGGGCCCAAGUGAAGGAAAGGAGGCUGGCUCACUUGGUGGUGAAUUUGGGGAGGACUCGGACCGGCGUGGCUCAGCUCUUCCUCUCACCGAUAUGGAUCUGCCCUGGACCUCAGCCGCCUCUUCAGGGAUGGACGAGACAGCCAGUUUCCUGGUGCCUCCUAAGACUGGCUUUCAGUGGUUUGUGACAGAGUUAAUGUGCAGAGAAGAUGAACAUGAGACUCAGCCGUGUGCUGGGCAGGGUCUGGAGAUGGCGUCCGGAGGAGGCCCCGGAGGACGACCCGAUGCCGUGUUGUUGGACAGCCGGUAUAUGGACCGCGGUGGUGUUGCCAGCUAAUGGGCACAUUGUGCUGUUGCCCUCACAGUUCUCAGUGGGAACAGAGGUAAGUGGUGUACCUGUGAGUCACAGUCCGACAGCCAUCCCGUCAAGAGCGUUUCAAUUCUCUCACGUAAAUGCGCUCUCAGAGGAAUUGGUUUUGGAAAUGCCUCGGCACUUUGAGACAUCUGGGCAAAGGGUGCUAUAGAAGUCCAGAAAGAGAAUGUGCUUGGUCCAUGCAAGGAGUAUAUGCUUGAAAAAAGACAGUGUUGUUAGCCUGAAGUUCUAUUUUUUUUUUUUUUCAUUCUUGGGAUGCUGUAAGUUUCUGAAGCAUCAAUAAGAGGGAGAGAUUGAGGUCUCUUGCUUUUUCACAGGACACCAACCCAGGAAGUCGAAUGGUUUCAUUUUAUAUAUGUGAUAUUACAUAUGUUUGUUGGCACAUAGUUUCUUCUACUUUCUGGGAGCCCUAGAAGUUAAUAGUGUUGUUGUUAAAUAAAUGAAUGUAUUAAUUUUAAUGUGAAAUGAUUUUUGGAAAAGCAGUAAUGUCUCCUCAGGAAAGCUUCAUGAAGUAUUCAUUUUUCUAUCACCACACUGUAAAUCUAUUUGCCAGUUAUAAUCAUGUUAAGAUUUAGUUUGUUUGACUGGAAGGGCAAAGAGGAGGGCAUGGCAUCAUUUGUAUCAUCUCUCUCUUCCCCAGUUCUCCUUUUUCUGUUGCAGCUCCAUCUUACUGUUGGUGCUCACAUCCUGCCUUGCCUGGACUAUUGCAGUAGCCUCCUUAGGAUUGCUCUUUUACUCCAGCUUUGUUCUUCUGCAUCGAAAGCAGCAUGUCUCAGGGACCAAUUCUUUCCAUGAUUUUCUUUGCUUAAAAAAGAAAUCCAAACCCUGUGCAAAGCCAUUCAUAUAUAUCGACCCAUUAGCCUCUGAUCUGAUUCUCAACUAAGGACAAUGUUGUCUCUUAGGGGACAUUUGAUGUCUGCAGCUAAUUCUGUCUGCAGAUAAUGGUGUAUGUGCGCAUGUGCAUAUGUGUGUGUGUGUGUGUGUGUGUGUGUGUGUG
rnacentral:lncRNA from 1 species